rnacentral:rRNA from 1 species
AUUGAACGCUGGCGGCAGGCCUAACACAUGCAAGUCGAGCGAGCGGCGGACGGGUGAGUAAUGUAUGGGGACCUGGCCGUUAGGGGGGGAUAACUACUGGAAAAGGUGGCUAAUACCGCAUCCUGUCGGAUCAACCCAUAUGGGAUUAGCUAGUAGGUGAGGUAAUGGCUUACACAGGCGACGAUCCCUAGCUGGUAUGAGAGGAUGAUCAGACACACUGGGACUGAGACACGGCCCAGACUCCUACGGGAGGCAGCAGUGGGGAAUAUUGGACAAUGGGCGAAAGCCUGAUGCAGCCAUGCCGCGUGUGUGAAGAAGGCCUUCGGGUUGUAAAGUACUUUAAGUUGGGAGGCGUUACCGACAGAAUAAGCACCGGCUAACUCCGUGCCAGCAGCCGCGGUAAUUC